rnacentral:rRNA from 1 species
AUUGAACGCUGGCGGCAUGCCUUACACAUGCAAGUCGAACGGUAACAGGUCUUCGGAUGCUGACGAGUGGCGAACGGGUGAGUAAUACAUCGGAACGUGCCCGAGAGUGGGGGAUAACGAGGCGAAAGCUUUGCUAAUACCGCAUACGAUCUCAGGAUGAAAGCAGGGGACCGCAAGGCCUUGCGCUCACGGAGCGGCCGAUGGCAGAUGAGGUAGUUGGGGGGAUAAAAGCUUACCAAGCCGACGGUCUGUAGCUGGUCUGAGAGGACGACCAGCCACACGGGGAUUAAGACACGGCCCAGACUCCUACGGGAGGCAGCAGUGGGGAAUUUUGGACAAUGGGCGCAAGCCUGAUCCAGCCAUGCCGCGUGCAGGAUGAAGGCCUUCGGGUUGUAAACUGCUUUUGUACGGAACGAAAAGACUCUGGUUAAUACCUGGGGUCCAUGACGGUACCGUAAGAAUAAGCACCGGCUAACUACGUGCCAGCCGCCGCCGUAACAC